GAGAGCCGUAUGCGGGAGAUCCGCACGUACGGUUCGGAGGGGGGAGCGCCGGGUAACCGGUCGUUCCUACCCCUAU
rfam:Desulfomonile tiedjei DSM 6799, complete genome.